CUGCUGCCUCCCGUAGGAGUCUGGUCCGUGUCUCAGUACCAGUGUGGGGGACCUUCCUCUCAGAACCCCUACGCAUCGUCGCCUCGGUGGGCCGUUACCCCGCCGACUAGCUAAUGCGACGCAUGGCCAUCCUAUGCCGGAGUCGCCUCCUUUGACCCCCUGGAGAUGUCUCCAAAUGGUGUUAUGCGGUAUUAGACGGAAUUUCUUCCGCUUAUCCCCCUGCAUAGGGCAGGUUCCAUACGUGUUACUCACCCGUGCGCCGG
rnacentral:rRNA from 1 species